CCCAGCUCCCUUUUUUCACAGUCUAUUCCACACAACCAGAUCAAAAGUCAUACACAACAUGGCUCUAUGUAGGGCCCCUAAUAUGACAGCAGCAUUUUGCAACUCAGGCUGCAGCAAUUCAUGGCACUUGGCCUGCCUCUCAGCAAGAGCCUGAAGCAGUUUCAGAUGAAUAAGAUUAGGACCUGAAUGAUGCAUAAUAAGGCUGGAGAAAAUAUUGCCAGAAACAGUCUGUAAGUAUUUUUUAUACCUAACCAUGCCUUUCAUCACCAGAAGACCUAAUUUCAGUGUAAGGGUUAGAAAAGAAAGUAACAUGCAGCAACAAGGUGUCUCAAAGUUGAAAAAACUUAAUAAAUGAA